rnacentral:rRNA from 1 species
UACGAAGGGGGCUAGCGUUGCUCGGAAUCACUGGGCGUAAAGCGCACGUAGGCGGAUUUCUAAGUCAGGGGUGAAAGCCCGAGGCUCAACCUCGGAACUGCCUUCGAUACUGCGGGUCUCGAGUCCGGGAGAGGUGAGUGGAAUUCCUAGUGUAGAGGUGAAAUUCGUAGAUAUUAGGAAGAACACCAGUGGCGAAGGCGGCUCACUGGCCCGGUACUGACGCUGAGGCGCGAAAGCGUGGGGAGCAAACAGG